UACGUAGGGGUCUAGCGUUGUCCGGAAUCAUUGGGCGUAAAGGGCGCGUAGGCGGUCAGCACAUGUCAGUUGUGAAAUCUCCGGGCUUAACCCGGAAAGGUCAACUGAUACUGUGCGACUAGAGUGCGGAAGGGGCAACUGGAAUUCUCGGUGUAGCGGUGAAAUGCGUAGAUAUCGAGAGGACCACCUGCGGCGAAGGCGGGUUGCUGGGCCGACACUGACGCUGAUGCGCGAAAGCCAUGGGAGCGAACGGG
rnacentral:rRNA from 1 species